rnacentral:sRNA from 1 species
ACCAGGUGUAGUGGUAUGUGCCUGUAGUCCCAGCUACCUGGGAGGCUGAGGCAGGAGGAUCACUGAGCCCAGGAGUUCAAGUGCAGCCUGGGCAAUAUAACAAAUCAAAAUCUAGUCUCGU